AUUGAACGCUGGCGGCAGGCCUAACACAUGCAAGUCGAACGAGUGGCGGACGGGUGAGUAAUGUCUGGGCAACUGCCUGAUGGAGGGGGAUAACUACUGGAAACGGUAGCUAAUACCGCAUACCAUCAGAUGUGCCCAGAUGGGAUUAGCUAGUUGGUGGGGUAACGGCUCACCAAGGCGACGAUCCCUAGCUGGUCUGAGAGGAUGACCAGCCACACUGGAACUGAGACACGGUCCAGGCUCCUAGGGGAGGCAGAAGUGGGGAAUAUUGCACAAUGGGGGAAAGCCUGAUGCAGCCAGGCGGCGUGUAUGAAGAAGGCCUUCGGGUGGUAAAGUACUUUCAGCGGGGAGGCGUUACCCGCGGAGGAGGCACCGGCAAACUCGGUGCCAGCAGCCGCGGAAUAC
rnacentral:rRNA from 1 species